GACGAACGCUGGCGGCGUGCUUAACACAUGCCAGUCGAACGGAAAGGCCCUGCUUUUGUGGGGUGCUCGAGUGGCGAACGGGUGAGUAACACGUGAGUAACCUGCCCUUGACUUUGGGAUAACUUCAGGAAACUGGGGCUAAUACCGGAUAGGAGCUCCUGCUGCAUGGUGGGGGUUGGAAAGUUUCGGCGGUUGGGGAUGGACUCGCGGCUUAUCAGCUUGUUGGUGGGGUAGUGGCUUACCAAGGCUUUGACGGGUAGCCGGCCUGAGAGGGUGACCGGCCACAUUGGGACUGAGAUACGGCCCAGACUCAUACGGGAGGCAGCAGUGGGGAAUAUUGCACAAUGGGCGGAGGCCUGAUGCAGCAACGCCGCGUGCGGGAUGACGGCCUUCGGGUUGUAAACCGCUUUCGCCUGUGACGAAGCGUGAGGGACGGUAAUGGGUAAAGAAGCACCGGCUAACUACGU
rnacentral:rRNA from 1 species